CCGGUGGGUGGGGGGUGGGGGGUGGGGCGGGGUCGGGGGUCCGGAGCUGGAGGAUGCACACUUCCCUUAUCUCUCGAUGGUAAAGAAACUAAGGCCCAAGGACCUUAGGAGAGAUGUACAAGAUCAUGUGGCUACACAGUGA
rnacentral:lncRNA from 1 species